rnacentral:lncRNA from 1 species
GUGGGCAAAAAAGCGCCUUCAAGCCUCGACGGCAGCCAAGCAGUUUGCACCACUUGUUGCAAAAGAAGCAAAGUCUCUCCGGCAAGUACAGUAAUUGCAAUAAAGCGGCCAGGACUAGGCAGCAACAGCAGGUGUUCUCGGGGCGGGCCCGGCACGAUCAAGCGAGCAACAGGAGGAGGCCGAUUACGAAGCAAUUAAGUUGCUCCUCGUCCCCCAAUCGCAGCUUUUCUCAAUCUCUGAGCGUUGCAGAAGCUGUCAUUGACAUUUUAUUAAGGGGGCGGGCACAGCGGCCGAAGUAGAUCCCUGGACCAAUAAGAUUCAGCGGAGGGUGGAGUUUAGAUCCUUGANUGCGCAGACAGAGGCUAUUGGGGUAAACUGGAGGUGGGGAUAUGCAAAUGACCAGCAAUAUUUUUAAAAGUCGUCGCACCCGACCCAGCGCGUUGGCAAAUUUUAGUAUUGAUUUGUUUGGGCGCGCACAGGCAAGAAAGUUUUCUUUUUGUCUCUCGCUCAGGAAGACGGAACGGAAUGUGACGAAAUGGCAGAAAUGAAACUUGAUUAUGGACGGUUGAAUUGCAGGACACUUCCUUCAGGAGGAAGCGCUGACUGUGUAAAAAAAUAAAUAAAAAGCAAAGUAAAUAAUCACAUCGUGGUUCUACAGACUUGUAGGAGAUGGAGAUUCUUUCCUACGGAGGGAGAGACGCGUAUAAACGAGUUACUAAUCCAAAGGAGAAAGGGGUAGUCUACUGGAGUAAUAUAUACUCAUACAUUAUUGGUCUGCAAAAUUUAUCAGUUGACUGGCUGAUUAUCUUUGAGUUUUUCCUCCCUGCCUCCCUCCCUUUCUUUCUUCCUUCCAGAAGUAAAGCAGUGAAAAAAAUGCAUAAGGUCGUUUGGGAAUUGUGCGGUCAAAUCCCAACUUGCCGGUCCAGGCUCCCUGUUGUGUUUGACUUUCCAGAAAGGGCAUGAUUUCAUUUACUCCAAAAUGUGGCCUGAGAACCCUGCUGCAUUCGGUGCCCUCUACAUCUAGUGUUAAAUAAGGCUGUGCAGUUCUGCCUCAAAGUCCUGCUCUGAUGUUACUUCUCUUGGUCGGCUUGGUUAUUGAAAAGAAUGAUUAAAGCCUGCUUUGUGAAGGAAGGAAACUACAAGCAACACUCACCAACACACAGCAUAGACUUGGGAUGUAUGAGGAAUGGAAAGGGGGAACAGAUUCUCCUGUGAAUAUGCUGACAGAUAGAGUAGUAUGCAGUAUCAGCUUCCAAAAUCUGAUAGCANUGGGAAGAAUAUGACCUUGUGAGGCAGGAGGAAGCACCUCGGCUUCAGCUCUUGUGGGCUCCAUAGCUUGACAGGCCACUAUUUGUACACAGAAAAAAAUAUUGCCUGAAAAAUGUUUGGACAAAGCUAUCUUUCUACAGAGAAAAUGGUCUGCAAAAUUCCACAGGAAUUGACACAAAGUUGGUUCUUUUCAGCAUGAACAGUGGCAGAGCUGGUUNCUUUAUCUUUCAGAGGCAUCUUUCAUCUGUCUCCCUGGUGCUGGCAGUAGCAGGACUAGAUAUCAGAUUCUGAUAUCAGACACCCUUUUGAUAGCAAACAAUUUCAUCAAAUACAGCAUCUCUGAAUAUUGGACGUUUUGUUCAAAGGAGAGAGUUCCUAGCACAGGAGUUUGGUGCUAUUGCUGCUGGAUCAUUUUGGACCAGCAGCUAGAAGGAGGAAUCUGCGUAGUCCCUAUAUAACAUAACUUGCUGGCUAUAAUCAUCCAUUGUACCUAACUCUAACAUGCCAAAUUUCUGUCUUUUGCAUUCAUUUGGGGUUGGAGGUAGUGGGUGGGGGGAGCCUGUAGUUUUAUUUUGUUGUACUUUAAUGUUUGUAUUAAUUGUAACCUGUCCUGGGACUAUAUGGUAAAGAGUGGG